rnacentral:rRNA from 1 species
AACGUAGGUUCCGAGCGUUAUCCGGAUUUACUGGGCGUAAAGCGCGUUCAGGCGGUUUGGCAAGUCGGGCAUGAAAUCUCUCGGCUCAACCGAGAGGUUGUCCGAUACUGCUGGACUUGAGGGCAGUAGAGGGUGGUGGAAUUCCGGGUGUAGUGGUGAAAUGCGUUGAUAUCCUGAGGAACACCGGUGGCGAAAGCGGCUCACUGGGUCUUUUCUGACGCUGAUGCACGAAAGCUAGGGUAGCGAACGGG